rnacentral:rRNA from 1 species
GAUGAACGCUGGCGGCGUGCCUAAUACAUGCAAGUCGAGCGAACGGACGAGAAGCUUGCUUCUCUGAUGUUAGCGGCGGACGGGUGAGUAACACGUGGAUAACCUACCUAUAAGACUGGGAUAACUUCGGGAAACCGGAGCUAAUACCGGAUAAUAUUUUGAACCGCAUGGUUCAAAAGUGAAAGACGGUCUUGCUGUCACUUAUAGAUGGAUCCGCGCUGCAUUAGCUAGUUGGUAAGGUAACGGCUUACCAAGGCAACGAUGCAUAGCCGACCUGAGAGGGUGAUCGGCCACACUGGAACGGAGACGCGGUCCAGACUCCUACGGGAGGCAGCAGUAGGGAAUCUUCCGCAAUGGGCGAAAGCCUGACGGAGCAACGCCGCGUGAGUGAUGAAGGUCUUCGGAUCGUAAAACUCUGUUAUUAGGGAAGAACAUAUGUGUAAGUAACUGUGCACAUCUUGACGGUACCUAAUCAGAAAGCCACGGCUAACUACGUG